rnacentral:lncRNA from 1 species
AAUUGAGUUAAUUAGUGAUCAAAUCACUAAUUAAACCUCUUAUAAAUAUUGAGUCCAAAUCCGAUGGGUAAUCGGGCAUCAGAAUUCAUCGAUAUGUAACCCUGAUCGAAGAAUCCUAAACCAGUGGGACUCUUGACCCCGGUACCCAAAAUGUGUAGAAUUCAUGAUCAGAGAAUCUUGAUUCUCGAUCAUAGAAUCUCAGACAUGAAGG